GCAUAUCAAUAAGCGGAGGAAAAGAAACUAACAAGGAUUCCCCUAGUAACGGCGAGUGAACCGGGAUGAGCUCAAAUUUGUAAUCUGGCGUGCUCCGCGCGUCCGAGUUGUAAUCUAUAGAAGCGUUUUCCGUGCCGGACCGUGUCCAAGUCCCUUGGAACAGGGUAUCAAAGAGGGUGACAAUCCCGUACUUGACACGACGACCGGUGCUCUGUGAUACGUUUUCUACGAGUCGAGUUGUUUGGGAAUGCAGCUCAAAACGGGUGGUAAAUUCCAUCUAAGGCUAAAUAUUGGCGAGAGACCGAUAGCGAACAAGUACCGUGAGGGAAAGAUGAAAAGCACUUUGGAAAGAGAGUUAAACAGUACGUGAAAUUGUUGAAAGGGAAACGAUUGAAGUCAGUCGUGUCCAAGGGAUUCAGCCGGUUCUUCCGGUCUACUUCUCUUGGACGGGUCAACAUCAGUUUUGGCCGGUGGAUAAAGGCUGGAGGAAUGUGGCACCCUCGGGUGUGUUAUAGCCUCCUGUCACAUACAUCGGCCGAGACUGAGGAAUGCAGCUCGCCUCACGGCCGGGGUUCGCCCACGUACGAGCUUAGGAUGUUGACAUAAUGGCUUUAAACGACCCGU
rnacentral:rRNA from 1 species